rnacentral:lncRNA from 1 species
GAUUCCAUGUAGCUCCACCACUCUCUGACAAGUCACGACAAGAGCCGCCCUCCUACUCCACUCCCUGCAAUGGAUUUCAUGCAGCUCCACCACUCUCUGGCAAGUCUCAACAACGGACACCACUCCACUCUCCGCAACAAGCUCCACGUGGCCCUGAACGACCCCUGACGCCACUACUCUCCGUAACAAACUCCACGCG